UGAGCAAUCUGCCCUUCUCAUCGGAAUAAGCGUUGGAAACGACGUCUAAUGCCGAAUACGACCUCCUUUCGCAUGAUCGGAGGUGGAAAGCUCCGGCGGAGAAGGAUGAGCUCGCGGCCUAUCAGCUAGUUGGUGUGGGUAACGCCCACCAAGGCGACGACGGGUAGCCGGCCUGAGAGGGUGACCGGCCACACUGGGACUGAGACACGGCCCAGACCUCCUACGGGAGGNAG
rnacentral:rRNA from 1 species